CCUACGGGGGGCAGCAGUAGGGAAUAUUGGGCAAUGCCCGCAAGGGUGACCCAGCCAUGCCGCGUGCAGGAAGAAGGCCUUCUGGGUUGUAAACUGCUUUUGGAAGGGAACAAAACGGGCGUGCGCGCCCACUUGAGGGUACCUUCAGAAUCAGCACCGGCUAACUCCGUGCCAGCAGCCGCGGUAAUACGGAGGGUGCAAGCGUUGUCCGGAUUUAUUGGGUUUAAAGGGUGCGUAGGCGGCCUAUUAAGUCAGGGGUGAAAGACUGCAGCUCAACUGUAGCAGUGCCUUUGAUACUGAUGGGCUGGAGUAUAGAUGAGGCCGGCGGAAUGGGUGGUGUAGCGGUGAAAUGCAUAGAUACCAUCCAGAACACCGAUUGCGAAGGCAGCCGGCUAAACUAUAACUGACGCUGAGGCACGAAAGCGUGGGGAUCGAACAGG
rnacentral:rRNA from 1 species